UCUUACAGUGAAAAAGUUGUCCUAGUUUGUGCUGAUUCUUGAUAAAAUCUGAUUUCAUAUCAUGCAUGUGAUAUUUAUGAUCUGAUUUAGAUGUGAUCUAAAAUUAUGAUCAAAUCUGAUGUAAUUUAAAUUAGAUCUAAAUUCAAGCAUAUAUGAUAUGUGAUUAGAUUAGAUGAUCCGAUUAGCAAGUACUUGGAAUGGAUUGAUUGCUAGGCCAUC
rnacentral:lncRNA from 1 species